rnacentral:siRNA from 1 species
UCGCUAAUGAGAUAUUGCUUGGUC